CUUCCGCCCAAGAUGGUGGGAAGCGAGUUGAGAUCCGUGUUGUGUCCCGUCCGAAGGGAACCUACUCUCCCCUCCUCCUUGUCGCCGACUCCCGGCCGCAGGGCGACGCGAACCAGCCCUGGCCGCAGCCUCCGCUUCCACCGGCCCAGCCCUUGGCUUCGGGCCCCGCUCCGGGGCGGUUACGAAGCUCCGUAGGGGGCCGGGAGGCCCUGAUCAGCUGUGGUCUGGAGACACCGGAUCCCUCCGCGGGGCCUGGACUUCAGGGUUUCCACUGGAAAUGAGAUAGAACCAGCCCCCGACGACUGGGCGAAGGGAUGCGGUGAUGAUUUCCUCCUGUUCCUCGUCGAUGGGAGCUUUCCGAGUGAUCUCAGUUUCGGGGACCCAGGUUUGGACCGAGCUCUCCCUGACUACCCCACCGCUUCCCUCCCCAUCUCCCAGUACAGCCGUGCUCUGGACUUCACUCGGUCUGCGUCAUCACGCAUGUGCGGAAGUUACCACCGCCUGGCACUGGGAGUUGACUCACAGAAUACUACGCAGUACCUGAGACUGUAGAAUUCACCUUGCCUCAUGGAUGGCUGUCGUGGGGGCUGGUGCUGUGGACGGGAGGAUUUUUGGACCAUGAUUCCAGGUAAUUAAUAACAUCA